UGAACUGAAUUAACCAGUGCACACGACUAGGAAAAAACAAACAUCAUUUGUCAUCGAGUUUCUAAUUAAAUCAUGGCUGCAACUGGGCAUCGUUAUUAUAAUAGUGAAGGUGAACGUGCUGCUACUUCCCUCAUUCCCAACAUGGAUCAAGUACCUGCAUUGAGUAAUGCAAGAGUGAGAUGAUACAUCUCAGCAAGCAAAUUGUUUUGACGAGAUAUUUAAACCACAAAUUGAAUUAAACAACAUUUUAAAGGAAUCACAAUUGAGAUCAGAAAUACUUGUAGAUAUAGAACUUAAUAGUCCCAAUAUAACCAAUACCAUCUCAUUUCCUCGAACAACCACAAUAGGUUGUAUAACCCUUCCCUGCGUCAACAAUACCUGCAGAUAUCACUUCAAUGUAUGCAUAGGAAUGCAAUGUGUAGGUCAUCUGCCCUCAUACCUCUGAGAGUAUAAAACCACAUCAUCUGCUAAUAUCACUUCAAUAAAUGCAUAUAAAUGCAAUGCAUAUGUCCUCUGCCUUCAUACCUCUAAGGGUAUGAAGCCGCAUCGUACCCCUCCUCGGGCAACGUACGAUGCUAAGUUGUACCGGUACGGUCGGACCAUAGGUCACGACCAAACUUCAGAUGCAAAUGAAUCAUGUAAUGCAUAUGGCAUGCUGCAUUUAUCAAUACACUUCACUUCCUUCAGAUACAAAACAAACCUCAAAUAAUACUUCAUCUGCCUUCAGAUACGAUACAAACCUCAAAUAAUACUUUAUCUGCCUUCACGGGUGUAAAUUAAUCUCAUGGGUCAUACUCGAACCAUAAUCAUCAUCAAUAUACGAUUGAGCAUCAGUAUAAUACAAUCAAGUAAAGCAUCACCAUAGAGUUCAAUUAUGAAAGAAUUCCAUAAUUCUGAAUAUUAGAGUGUAGGCGAUAAAAAAACAACAAGUCAAAACAGUAGAAACCACUGCUACAUUCACUUGCCUUCAUCGAGGAAGAAAGAUGUACUAGGCAUGAUCCGGAGUGUAGCCACCUGCUAGUGGGCAUAAAACUUAGUACAAAUAUUUCACAAACAUUUGCCAACAAUCAACAAAUCGCUACUACACUUGAAACCAAGACCCGGUGGAAAGACUCCCACCCUGAACCACAUGCCAAACAGCAGCAUCACUGUUUGUUAAUUUUGUAUCUUUAAAAUUAUAACAGUGGUAUAUUAAACAAAUACUCUAGGAGUGUAUACACAAAAUACUCUACAACUUCAGUAUUCAAUGGAUAAUUAAAUUCUGCCAUCUAUAAGUUCUAAAACAUCUGAUAAGAUAAAUGUCUGAAUCUGUUUCAGACAGCAGCAUAGUUAACUUCAAAAUUCAAUAUCUACCAAACUACUCAACCAAAAAUUAUGAAAUUCUGCUGGCAGUAGGAACUUUUAUCCCUCUACAAAUGUCUCCAUAGUUGGAACAGCCAAUUCGGCUAUUUACUAUAUGAAACCCACCAGUGAACAGACCCGCUCAUUUUUGUCAGGCAAACAGGAACAGCCACAGUAAAACAAACAUAACUGGAGUUUCAUAAUUCAUAUGAAUGCGCUCUUUAACAAUCUGGAAAGCUUAUAAAAUUGUCUACAACUUCUUUUACAAUCCUAAAGUUUAAUUCUGUAGAUAAAAUUGCCUAAAUCUUAAGAGAACAGAUUCUGCACAGAAUUAUGAGACUGAAAAACUGCUAUAAUCAAACUGCAAUAACUUUCUGAUCUGAUGUCCGAUUGAGGUGUUCUUCGCGGCCACGGAAAGAUAUACAAAUUAUCUACGACUCAUAGACAGACGUUUUAUUUUUUUUGAGGCCACUAAGAUCACGGAAAACUGGCAUGAACAGACACUGUUGAAUCUGCCAUCUUGCAGAAACUAAUUUCGAGAUCAAAAUCUAAUCUCCCAUCUAAUCCAACCAAAAAAACUAAUUGCAGGGCCUAAAACUCAUCCAAAACAAGAGAAAGCAUUCAUCAAGUGGAGAAAAGAGAGAGAGGAAAGGAAAUCCAACCAAUUCUUGGAGAGGAACGACGAUGAUGAGCGAUGGUAUGCCCUCAUCUCCCCUCUCUUCUCUUCUUUUUUCUUCCUCUCAUCUCUUGGGGCAAGGCACAAAAGGGUGACGGCUGCUAGG
rnacentral:lncRNA from 1 species